UACGGGGGGAGCAAGCGUUGUUCGGAUUUAUUGGGCGUAAAGAGCUCGUAGGCGGUUCGACAAGUCGAAUGUGAAAUCUCCACGCUCAACGUGGAGGGGUCAUUCGAAACUGUCGUGACUUGAGUACGGUAGGGGAGUGUGGAAUUCCCGGUGUAGCGGUGAAAUGCGCAGAGAUCGGGAGGAACACCCGUAGCGAAGGCGGCACUCUGGGCCGAUACUGACGCUGAGGAGCGAAAGCGUGGGGAGCAAACAGG
rnacentral:rRNA from 1 species